UCACGGCUCAGGAUGAACGCUAGCGGCAGGCCUAACACACGCAAGUCCGAGGGAGAGGUUACCUUUCGGGUAACCAAAACCGGCGCACGGGCGCGUAACGCGUAUGCAAUCUGCCUUUCCACAUAGGGAUAGCCCGAAGAAAUUUCGGAUUAAUACCUAAUGGUAUAUAAGAGCGGCAUCGUUUUUAUAUUAAAGCUACGGUGGUGAAAGAUGAGUAUGCGUUCUAUUAGCUAGUUGGAGAGGUAACGGCUCCCCAAGGCGACGAUAGAUAGGGGUUCUGAGAGGGAUGUCCCCCACACUGGUACUGAGAUACGGACCAGACUCCUACGGGAGGCAGCAGUGAGGAAUAUUGGACAAUGGUCGGAAGACUGAUCCAGCCAUGCCGCGUGCAGGAUGAAGGUCCUAUGGAUUGUAAACUGCUUUUGUAAGGGAAGAAUAAGGGGUACGUGUACUUUGAUGACGGUACCUUACGAAUAAGCAUCGGCUAACUCCGUGCCAGCAGCCGCGGUAAUACGGAGGAUGCGAGCGUUAUCCGGAAUCAUUGGGUUUAAAGGGUCCGUAGGCGGGCUGAUAAGUCAGAGGUGAAAGCGCUUAGCUCAACUAAGCAACUGCCUUUGAAACUGUCAGUCUUGAAUGAUUGUGAAGUAGUUGGAAUGUGUAGUGUAGCGGUGAAAUGCUUAGAUAUUACACAGAACACCGAUAGCGAAGGCAUAUUACUAACAAUUUAUUGACGCUGAUGGACGAAAGCGUGGGGAGCGAACAGGAUUAGAUACCCUGGUAGUCCACGCUGUAAACGAUGGAUACUAGCUGUUUGGAGCAAUCUGAGUGGCUAAGCGAAAGUGAUAAGUAUCCCACCUGGGGAGUACGCACGCAAAGUGUGAAAACUCAAAAGGAAUUGACGGGGGCCCGCACAAGCGGUGGAGCAUGUGGUUUAAUUCGAUGAUACGCGAGGAAACCUUACCAAGGUUUAAAAUGGGGACUGACAGAGGUAGAGAUACCUCCUUUUUUCGGACAGUUUUCAAGGUGCUGCAUGGUUGUCGUCAGCUCGUGCCGUGAGGUGUCAGGUUAAAGUCCUAUAAACGAGCGCGAACCCCUGCCAUUAGUUGCUAACGAGUCGAAGUCGAGCCCUCUAGUGGGACUGCCGGUGCGAAACCGUGAGGAAGGUGGGGAUGACGUCAAAUUCAUCGCGGCCCUUGACGUCUUGGGCUACGACGACGUGCUACGAAUGGCCGUUACAGAGAAGCGAGCCGCUGCGCGAGCGGGAGCGAAAUCUAUAAA
rnacentral:rRNA from 1 species